CAAGUCGAACGGUAACGGGCCCGCAAGGGUGCCGACGAGUGGCGGACGGGUGAGGAAUACAUCGGAAUUUGCCCAGUCGUGGGGGAUAACGUAGGGAAACUUACGCUAAUACCGCAUACGACCGGAAGGUGAAAGCGAGGGAUCGCAAGACCUCGCGCGAGUGGAUGAGCCGAUGUCGGAUUAGCUAGUUGGUGGGGUAAAGGCCCACCAAGGCGACGAUCCGUAGCUGGUCUGAGAGGAUGAUCAGCCACACUGGGACUGAGACACGGCCCAGACUCCUACGGGAGGCAGCAGUGGGGAAUAUUGGACAAUGGGGGCAACCCUGAUCCAGCAAUGCCGCGUGUGUGAAGAAGGCCUUCGGGUUGUAAAGCACUUUUGUCCGGAACGAAACGUGUCGGGUGAAUAUCCCGGCAAACUGACGGUACCGGAAGAAUCAGCACCGGCUAACUUCGUGCCAGCAGCCGCGGUAAUACGAAGGGUGCAAGCGUUACUCGGAAUUACUGGGCGUAAAGCGUGCGUAGGUGGUUUUUUAAGUCCGUUGUGAAAGCCCUGGGCUCAACCUGGGAAUGGCAGUGGAUACUGGAAAGCUAGAGUGCGGUAGAGGGUAGUGGAAUUCCCGGUGUAGCAGUGAAAUGCGUAGAGAUCGGGAGGAACACCAGUGGCGAAGGCGGCUACCUGGACCAGCACUGACACUGAGGCACGAAAGCGUGGGGAGCAAACAGGAUUAGAUACCCUGGUAGUCCACGCCCUAAACGAUGCGAACUGGACGUUGGGUGCAACUUGGCACUCAGUGUCGGAGCUAA
rnacentral:rRNA from 1 species